AGAGUUUGAUCAUGGCUCAGAACGAACGCUGGCGGCGGGUCUUAAACAUGCAAGUCGAACGGCAGCAUGCUUGUAGCAAUACAAGUGAUGGCGAGUGGCGCACGGGUGCGUAACACGUAGGAACCUGCCCUGAAGUGGGGGAUAACCGCGGGAAACUGUGGCUAAUACCGCAUAAUACUGAAAGGUUAAAGGAUGGAGUAAUUCAUCCGCUUCGGGAUGGGCCUGCGGGCUAUCAGCUAGUUGGAGGGGUAACGGCCCACCAAGGCGACGACGGCUAUCCGGCCUGAGAGGGUGAUCGGACACACUGGCACUGAGACACGGGCCAGACUCCUACGGGAGGCAGCAGUUAAGAAUCUUGCGCAAUGGGGGAAACCCUGACGCAGCCACGCCGCGUGAGCGAUGAAGGCCCUCGGGUUGUAAAGCUCAGUAAGAUGGAAAGAAUAAGCAAGGUCUAACAGGCCUUGUGAUGACCUACCAUCCUAAAGCCCCGGCUAAUUACGUGCCAGCAGCCGCGGUAAUACGUAUGGGGCAAGCGUUGUUCGGAAUCAUUGGGCGUAAAGGGCACGCAGGCGGACUGUUAAGUUGGAUGUAUAAUCUUCAGGCUCAACCUGAUUCCUGCAUUCAAAACUGGCAGUCUAGAGUCUCGGAGAGGAAAGUGGAAUUCUCGGUGUAGCGGUGGAAUGCGUAGAUAUCGAGAGGAACACCAAUGGCGAAGGCAACUUUCUGGACGAUGACUGACGCUCAGGUGCGAAAGCGUGGGGAGCAAACAGGAUUAGAUACCCUGGUAGUCCACGCCCUAA
rnacentral:rRNA from 1 species